GACGGAGGGGCGAGUGUUAUUCAUCUUGACUGGGCGUAAAGGGCAUUUAGGCGGUAAUCUAAGUCCAUCGAAAAAAUUCCAUGGCUGAGCUGUGGACGUUCGGUCGAUACUGGUUUACUUAGAGUGCAAGGGGGGAUAGUGGAAUUUCUAGUGUAGAGAUAGAAAUUCGGAAAUAUUAGAAGGACCUCCGGACGCGAAAGCGACUAUCUAGAUUGUUGACUGGACGCUGGAGUGCGAAAGCAUGGGCAUCAAAACAGG
rnacentral:rRNA from 1 species